GAUGAACGCUGGCGGCGUGCCUAACACAUGCAAGUCGAGCGAACGGACGAGAAGCUUGCUUCUCUGAUGUUAGCGGCGGACGGGUGAGUAACACGUGGAUAACCUACCUAUAAGACUGGGAUAACUUCGGGAAACCGGAGCUAAUACCGGAUGAUAUUUUGAACCGCAUGGUUCAAAAGUGAAAGACGGUCUUGCUGUCACUUAUAGAUGGAUCCGCGCUGCAUUAGCUAGUUGGUAAGGUAACGGCUUACCAAGGCAACGAUGCAUAGCCGACCUGAGAGGGUGAUCGGCCACACUGGAACUGAGACACGGUCCAGACACCUACGGGAGGCAGCAGUAGGGAAUCUUCCGCAAUGGGCGAAAGCCUGACGGAGCAACGCCGCGUGAGUGAUGAAGGUCUUCGGAUCGUAAAACUCUGUUAUUAGGGAAGAACAUAUGUGUAAGUAACUGUGCACAUCUUGACGGUACCUAAUCAGAAAGCCACGGCUAACUACGUG
rnacentral:rRNA from 1 species